GAAAAUGUACAUUAUUUUAAUUUAUUGAACAUUCAAUAUGCAAUAUGGCAAUUUUUCUGGGAUUUAACCCUAGGAUAUGCUUGCUGCUGGUGCUUAGCAAAAGACUCCACUUCACACUUACCACUAAUGAAAUGCUUCACUGAAUAAAAACGAAAUACUGAACAAAAUAAGUUUAAAUAUUUUCUUAAAAAAUCAUUUUAAAGUUCAUUCUGUUCAGUCUAACGACUAACACAAUAGGAGAAAAUACACUAGUUUAAUCUAAUUGGCUGAUUUUAUACAGCAUAUAUCUUUCAGUCCACAAGUAUAUAAUUGAAUGAUAGAGAACACUCAAUAUAACCAUUUUUACAGAACUAGGAAAUACAUUUCUAAGAAAGAUUUACAACCCCAUUUUUCAUACCCAAUGCAACAGUGUAAUUCUAGAGAGGAUAAUGCCAAUGACUCCUCCCGUGAGUCGUGACUGAAGUCCCUUUGCUAUCAAAAUCUGUAUUUCUGAUCCGUUAUUAGCAUUGAGACAAGAUUCAAAUAUUCCCAAAGAAAGAAGCACAAUGCACGUUGUGAUCGCCUAUUCAGCAACAGCGAGCACUGCAGUCAAACUAUCUCAUCCCAGGAAUUAAAUAAGGUCAGCCACAUUCAUUGGCAUUUCCUCCACUGUAGUAUUGUAGAAAGUCUCAAUGUCAUGAAGAAUCCUCUGUCUUCUUCAAUGUUUAUGGACAUAGCUUUCCUUCUAAAUUGAUUCCUGCUGCCAAUUCUGAACAAAAGAAAAAUUAUUAAUCAGAAUCUUACUUAUCAAAUGCUACAUGAACUACUAACAGUUUGAGCUACUUGUUAACCUUCAGUGGCUGUUUAUUUGUCAAGAUUAUACAUAGAGUGCUUCUUAUGGGAGCACCAGAUGCUAAUCAUGAUAUCCACAGAAAAUGACAAGAUUUCUUUUGUUGUUGGUGCAAAAGGAUUCAUCUGGCUGCAGAAUCAGAUUCUAUCAGGCACGUUGAGCAUUAUUAUUUAUAAAGCAGAUGACAGUAUUGUGCUUGUGGUAGUGAAAUUAAAGUCCACACCAAAGUGGGCCAAGAGCAGGUGUCAGCCUGGGACAGAUGUAAACACCAGGGACAAAACACAAACAACAGCUAUGGAAUCCAUGUCGACAUAUUCUUGGAG
rnacentral:lncRNA from 1 species